UUCUUUCUUUCACUAGUAGAAAAAUUGCAUUUUAUGACGACUUUACUAUGACGGAUAAAAAUUAUCCAUCAUAAUAGAGACAUAUUAUAACGCACUUUUAUAUAUCUGUCAUAAUAUGAAAUGCGGUGGCAAACUCGUAAAUAAGUCUAAGACAUAUUAUGACAUAGUUUUACAUAUCAAUUAUAAUAUAAAAAAAUUUAAAAUCUUUUACUACGCAUUUUGGACACUUGUCAUAAAAUUUUUAAUAUAUUAUGACUGAUUUUUAGAAAUUCGUAUCUCUCUUUUUCACUCCGUCCUUCUCAUGUUCGUCCCUCUGACUCUCAUUUCCCAUUUCUCUCUCACUCUCGUUCGACCUAUUACACCGUCUCCUCUUUUCCUCUCUUCUUCACCCUUUAUCAUUCGCAGUUCAAUCAACCACAAUUCUCCAUUUGCGUACCCUCGAGAACGUUUCUCUCGUCUCCAUCAUCGAAGGCUCUCGUCACAGUUCUCAGUCGCCGCAGUUCAAGCGGUAAGCACUUUCCUUUACCUCUCAGCCUCUCACCUGCAUCUUUUACCCUCAACUGCUAGGGUUUCUUUGUAUCUUCAUUUUCUCACCUUUUGAUCGAUUGUUUUUUGCUUUUUCCUUCAUUUUUCACCGAUUGAAAUCGGUUUCCUCCGUCUUUGUUCCGGUCAAGCAGUGAUUCCGUGUAGGUAGGAGCUAACCUAGGUAGGAUGUGGCUGAUGCUGCAAGUGUAGCUGCGUGUUCGUUCCCCUUUCGAGGUAAGGGUUUUUGUUUCGUAAUUACUCUCUGCGUGUUUCGUAAUUUUGUUUCGAGAUGUCCACCUUGGUGCUGUUUUGUUUUGAUUAUAUUGACCCUGUAAUUGGUUNAUAACGCAUAGUUGUUGUGGGUUUUGUCCGACACAGAGAAGUGGUUGAUGGAGAGAAAGCUCUCGAGCAAAUAACACAUUUAAUUUUAAAGGUAAGAUGGUAGGAGUUGUUAAAUGUGUAGAUGAAGCUCUGGUCCAGAAGUUUGAGUGGAAUAAUGAAC
rnacentral:lncRNA from 1 species